rnacentral:rRNA from 1 species
UGACUGCGGAGGAUCAUUAAAUAAUUUAGAUGACCUCCUAGAACUUGUUCUAGUUAGGUUCAUUCUUUUUUUACUGUGAACUGUUUUAAUUUUCAGCGUUUGAGGAAUGUCUUUUAGUCAUAGGGAUAGACUAUUAGAAUGUUAACCGAGCUGAAGUCAGGUUUAGACCUGGUAUCCUAUUAAUUAUUUACCAAAAGAAUUCAGUAUUAUUAUUGUAACAUAAGCGUAAAAAACUUAUAAAACAACUUUUAACAACGGAUCUCUUGGUUCUCGCAUCGAUGAAGAACGUAGCAAAGUGCGAUAACUAGUGUGAAUUGCAUAUUCAGUGAAUCAUCGAGUCUUUGAACGCAACUUGCGCUCAAUGGUAUUCCAUUGAGCACGCCUGUUUCAGUAUCAAAAACACCCCACAUUCAUAAUUUUGUUGUGAAUGGAACUGAGAAUUUCGACUUGUUUGAAUUCUUUAAACUUAUUAGGCCUGAACUAUUGUUCUUUCUGCCUGAACAUUUUUUUAAUAUAAAGGAAUGCUCUAGUAUUAAGACUAUCUCUGGGGCCUCCCAAAUAAAACUUUCUUAAAUUUGAUCUGAAAUCAGGCGGGAUUACCCGCUGAACUUAAGCAUAUCAAUAAGCGGAGGAAAAGAAAAUAACAAUGAUUUCCCUAGUAACGGCGAGUGAAGAGGAAAGAGCUCAAAGUUGGAACCUAUUUGGCUUAGCUAAAUCGGAUUGUAAACUGUAGAAGUGUUUUC